rnacentral:rRNA from 1 species
CCUACGGGAGGCAGCAGUGGGGAAUAUUGGACAAUGGGGGCAACCCUGAUCCAGCCAUGCCGCGUGUGUGAAGAAGGCCUUUUGGUUGUAAAGCACUUUAAGCAGGGAGGAGAGGCUAAUGGUUAAUACCCAUUAGAUUAGACGUUACCUGCAGAAUAAGCACCGGCUAACUCUGUGCCAGCAGCCGCGGUAAUACAGAGGGUGCGAGCGUUAAUCGGAAUUACUGGGCGUAAAGCGAGUGUAGGUGGCUCAUUAAGUCACAUGUGAAAUCCCCGGGCUUAACCUGGGAACUGCAUGUGAUACUGGUGGUGCUAGAAUAUGUGAGAGGGAAGUAGAAUUCCAGGUGUAGCGGUGAAAUGCGUAGAGAUCUGGAGGAAUACCGAUGGCGAAGGCAGCUUCCUGGCAUAAUAUUGACACUGAGAUUCGAAAGCGUGGGUAGCAAACAGGAUUAGAUACCCUGGUAGUCCACGCCGUAAACGAUGUCUACUAGCCGUUGGGGUCCUUGAGACUUUAGUGCGCAGUUAACGCGAUAAGUGACCGCUUGGGGNGUAGCGCGAGUUAACGUUANANAGAGUUAGAGNGNGAGAGNGCGACGGACGACGACGAGGGAGGAGG